rnacentral:rRNA from 1 species
UGGGGAAUAUUGCACAAUGGGCGCAAGCCUGAUGCAGCCAUGCCGCGUGUGUGAAGAAGGCCUUCGGGUUGUAAAGCACUUUCAGCGAGGAGGAAGGCGUUAAGGUUAAUAACCUUAGCGAUUGACGUUACUCGCAGAAGAAGCACCGGCUAACUCCGUGCCAGCAGCCGCGGUAAUACGGAGGGUGCAAGCGUUAAUCGGAAUUACUGGGCGUAAAGCGCACGCAGGCGGUUUGUUAAGUCAGAUGUGAAAUCCCCGAGCUUAACUUGGGAACUGCAUUUGAAACUGGCAAGCUAGAGUCUUGUAGAGGGGGGUAGAAUUCCAGGUGUAGCGGUGAAAUGCGUAGAGAUCUGGAGGAAUACCGGUGGCGAAGGCGGCCCCCUGGACAAAGACUGACGCUCAGGUGCGAAAGCGUGGGGCAGCAAACAGGAUUAGAUACCCUGGUAGUCCAGCGCUGUAA